UUGCAUCGAUAGGAUGCCUAGAUGAAUCGACCUCUAAUGAUGGAUUUCAGGCAACAUGGAGGAACAUAAUUAUUGGAAGAGUUGCAGUUGUCCAUUCCAA